ensembl:lncRNA
GGCUUAAAUUGAACGUGUUUUACGACGUACAUCCUUCAGUCUUGACUGCGCAAGCAGCAUUGUUAUAACAUCUGUGCUUCAGCUUGCACGUACAUUGCCCGCAUCCUGUAGGCAGGUACAAGAAAAAAGUUGUUGAGCUCUGUGCCUCCUCCUUGCACUUUCACCACUUGCCCCUGGCACUCUUCAGCCUGCUGUGUGCUACACCUGUCCGGAGGAAUGCUGCCACAGGGAAACACGGUGCAUUAAAUCCAGCUGAACGUGAGUGACUCAGCCCAUGAUCUUGAAUCACUUUUUAAACCUGCGAUGAUUUUGAGGAAACCCCAAUGGAACAUAAGCAACACAUUCCUGGCGAUCAAAGAAUGCUCCACACAGGAAGUACACGGGAAAAGAAGCAAAUCCAACACGAAAAAGACACAUGCAAAUACAAGUGAAUUGGCUUAGAGAAAGAAUUGUUACCAAGGUCCACUGUUGGAAAUACAUCUGAAAGAGAUAACCUUGGAAGCUGGUCACCUGAACACAGUGAGAAAAAGGGUGUGAGAAAGGAAGGACCUGAUCAUCCAUCAGAUGGAAUCCAGACGUGACAAUUAGAGUUAAUGAACCAUGACCCAAGAAGCAGUUUCUGCACUUUACAAUCCUACUUCAUGGCCUCAGUAAAACUUUCAGGGCUUUUUUUUUUUUUCCCACAGAACACAUCUGCUCCAAAUUCUAAAGGGAGAAACUGGUUUCAGAAGUUACAUUUGGUUUCUUCCCUACUUUUCAGUCAUGUAUGAGGUAAAUGUAAGAACUUUGUUAACUAAAAAUCAGAAGAUACAGCUUCUACGAUGAGACUAUAUAGUAUUAUUAUAGUAGCUAUUUAAUUUAUAUUAAAAUUAAUGAACUGAUAAAGAUGACUGGAAAACACCAAGCAAAUAUUUUCAAAACAACCAGUAUAAUGGCUUCUAUGUUUAAAUACUGGUUUUGGCCUCAGAUAGCUAAGAGAAUGCCUCAAAAAGGGGGGGAAAAAAAAAAGUUGAUUAAUACCUAAGUCUCCUAUCAUUUCUUCACAGAGUAGGUAUAGCUAAUGAAGCAGUGUCUCUUUUUCCCCAAAGUCCAGAAGAUCUACUGAACUUCUAAUCCUGAGGUGGAAUUGAUCUUUCUUUCCCUACGAGCAAAGUAUUCCUGCAGUCAGAGCCUCUCAAUAGUUUCUCAGAAUCACAAAAAUUCAUCCAUUUGGUCUUCUGCUACUAUUUGGAAUGAAGGAUUGAAAUAGGGCCAAACAACUCUUGGUGGUUUUCUUCCCAUACCAGACACACCUUUUCUUGGCCUCCUCCAAAGAUGUGUUACCAAAACCAUAACAAUUCACUAUGAAAUCUGCUACCUAAAUUACAAUUGCUUUUUGGUUACAGUAGUGAAUUCUAAAAAAGCUUUUCCAGCAGCCCUGGUCAGAAAUCCACAAAGGAUACCUAGUGCAGAGCAGGAAGAUCUCAAGAGUUUGGAGAUAAUGUUUCACAGUCAGCUUACACUCCAGUUCCCUCUUCUCAUUGAGUUAGGAAGUGAUUGGUUGCAUCCUGCUUCUGGAGAAGACAAAGGUAUUUCAGCCAUUGGUACUCCAAACUCAAAGAAGACCAUUAUUAAGAAAUGAAAGUCCAACUUGGUCUUGUACAUGGAAAUGUCUGCAGUACUUCCAAGACUUCUUCAAGAGUCAAUGGGUCUCAUAGGAAUGGCUCACAGAGCUUUUUUUCUUACUGACACUGUCCUCAUACAUUCCAAUUUUUACAGUUAGUAUGGCAUUCUCUUCAGUGAAACUUGAGCGCACACACUCACGCUGUGUCAUGAGAAUUUUCUAGUCCUAUCACUGAAUUCCUUUCUUAUAGCUUAUAGUAAAAUCAUUUCCAAAGGAGGAGAAGAGAACAUUGCUGUUUUCUGUUCUAAUAUGAGCAUGUGAAUAAAUUAAAUGAUAUUUACAUCUUUAUAUAAGGAGCUUCACAAUUUUUCAAUAUAAAAAAAAUAAAUCUUUUUUCACAAUAAAUCUUUUUUCACAAUAAAAAAAGAUGAUCAGAAGAAAUGGAAGGAAAAGGCAUGGUAAGAGUAAAAUAUCUGAUAAGAAAUUAUUUGACUGAAAAUGAAUAGUAGAGGAAUAUUACAAAAUCUAUCCAUAUCACAAUUAAUAGAUUAAAUAAUAAAACACAUUACUUUAUUCUAGCAAGUUUUUUCAAUGCAAAAAAAUAAGCCUAUGGCUUGGUAAUAAAAGUAACUGUAAAAAAAGUAACUGUAAACUGUCUUGCCCAUCAUACAUACUAUUGCUAAGUAUAGUUUUAUUUUUUCACUAUAUUAACUUCCCAAGAGCUCAUUAAAUGUUACUGAUAUUGAAAACAUGGUCAAUCAGGUGAAAUAAAAUAAAAUGGAAAAAAAUUAAAAAUAUCAGUAGAUCAAGUGUUUGUUGUAAAUAUCUUCUGCCUUGCUUAAACACGAGCUAAUUUUUAAGUAUGCAUGCAGAGAAGUUGUAUGAUGCUUAACAUAAUAAAUAAAACUCACGCACACUAGGCAAGUGACAUUGUAAAGAUCUAUUGUUUUAAUAAUUUCUUUCAAUCCAGUGAUACCUCAAUAAGGGAAGAACAUGUGAAAAAAUAAAUAACUGUCUCUUCAGUUGUCAUUUCAAAAUAUUUUCUGGAAGUUCAUAGAAUAAUGGAAUCAUUAAGGUUGGAAAAAACCUCCACAAUCAUCAAGUCCAACCAUCAACCAUCCCCACCAUGCCCACUAAACUAUGUCCCUCACUGCCACAUUCACACACUUCUUGAAUACCUCUAUGGACAGUGACUCCACCACUUCCUUGGAUAGUCUGUUCCAAUAACUCACCACUCCUUCUGAGAAGAAAUUGUUCCUAAUACCCAUCCCCAACUGACCCACCCCCCUCACCACAACCUCCCUUCUGGUAGUUUUAGAGAGCUAUAAGCUCUACCUUGAGCCUCCUGUUCUCCAGACUAAACAAUCCCGGUUCCCUCAGCCACACUUCAUAAAACUUGUGUUCCAGACCCUUCACAGCUCCACUGCCCUUCUCUGGACGUGCUCCAGGGCCUCAGUGUCUUUCUUGUAAUGAGAGGCCAAAAACUGAACGCAGUACUUGCAGUGCAGCCUCACUAGUGCCAAGUACAGAGGGACAAUCACAUUCCUGCUCCUGCUGGCUACACUAUUUCUGAUGCCAUCCUGGAUGCCACUGGCCGCCUUAGCCAGCUGGGCACCAUGCU